rfam:Arthrobotrys oligospora ATCC 24927 unplaced genomic scaffold scaffold00048, whole genome shotgun sequence.
GAGUUCUUAGCUCAAUUAGGUAGAGCAUAUGACUUUUAAUCAUUCGGUUAGAGGUUCGAAUCCUCUAGAACUCU